GUUAGUUGGUCACCCGGCACCACUGCCGACGGUUGUACCUGUUCAUAAUAAACGUACUCCAUCAUGAGACUGGAAUGGAAGCCACAAACAAGAAAGUUGCUGCAGCCCAUAUAGUGCUCCAGCGAUGAAAAUGGCUGCCCAGGACAACAUAUCUGUGUGUUGAAGCCGGUCUACUCAUAUUUUAAUGAAGACUAUGAGGUCUGCACCUCGUUUCACACUCUAUUUUGGACACAUCAGCCCUGAAACA